CGCGUAGGUGGCCUGAUUAGUAGGGGGUGAAAUCUCGUGGCUCAACUGCGAGGCUGCCUCCUAAACUGUCAGGCUCGAGCAGAGUAGAGGCAGGUGGAAUUCCCGGUGUAGCGGUGGAAUGCGUAGAGAUCGGGAAGAACAUCGGUGGCGAAGGCGGCCUGCUGGGCUCUUGCUGACACUGAGGCGCGACAGCGUGGGGAGCAAACA
rnacentral:rRNA from 1 species